rnacentral:rRNA from 1 species
AGGACGAACGCUGGCGGCGUGCCUAACACAUGCAAGUCGAACGAGGUCCAUCCAGUGGCAACACUGGGGAAGAUCUAGUGGCGAACGGGUGAGUAGCACGUGAGGAACCUGCCCCGAAGACCGGGAUAACCCUCCGAAAGGAGAGCUAAUACCGGAUACCUCCACACGUCGCAUGGCGAGGUGAAGAAAUGGAUUCCGCUUCGGGAGGGCCUCGCGGCCUAUCAGCUAGUUGGUGGGUAACGGCCCACCAAGGCAUCGACGGGUAGCUGUCUGAGAGGACGAUCAGCCACACUGGGACUGAGACACGGCCCAGACUCCGUACGGGAGGCAGCAGUGGGAAUCUUGCGCAAUGGGCGAAAGCCUGACGCAGCAACGCCGCGGUGGGGAUGAAGGGCCCUACGGGUACCGUAAACCCCUUUCGAGCCGAAGGACGAAAGUUCGACGUACCUGCGAAGAAGAAGCCCCGGACCAACGUACGUAUCGAGCACGGCCG